UGGAUUGGUUGGUAAAGUGCCUGGCU
rnacentral:piRNA from 1 species